CCUACGGGUGGCUGCAGUGAGGAAUAUUGCACAAUGGGCGAAAGCCUGAUGCAGCGACGCCGCGUGGGCGAUGAAGGUCUUCGGAUCGUAAAGCCCUUUUCUGUGUGACGAGAACGGACGGUAGCACAGGAAUAAGUCACGGCUAACUACGUGCCAGCAGCCGCGGUAAGACGUAGGUGGCAAGCGUUAUCCGGAGUUACUGGGCGUAAAGAGUGCGUAGGCGGGCGAGUAAGUGGUUCGUGAAAUCUCCAUGCUAAACGUGGAGGGGACGAAUC
rnacentral:rRNA from 1 species